rnacentral:lncRNA from 1 species
UUCUCCCUCUUAACAGUCUCUCCCUUCUAAUCUAGCCUCUACAAUGCUACCAAAAUAAUCCUCCUGUUACAAUUGAUUCUCACUUAUUUGCAUGAAAUUAAAUGCACAGGUAUAAGAAUCCCUGAUCACCUGUGCACCUGGCUAAAACCCCUCUGUGAUACCUAAAAGCUUUUCAGGAUAACAUUCAGGGGUUCAUACUUACUAGACCACACUCUCCCCUGCUCUAAGGGAAAUCCCAUUAAGCUCCAUCCCUCCCAAAGCAGUUCCUCUACCUUAUAUGCCCUUGUUACCUUGAUUCUCCAAACUGCUGUCUUUAUCCUUCAGCACUCAAAUCACAUGUCAGUCUCUCCAGGAAGCAUGCCCUAACUCUCCAGUCUGGAUUAGAUGCUUCUCUGGGGUUUCAAGAUUUUCCAGGCAUACUUUCAGCCAAACAUUUAUCAUAUUAAAUAAUUCUUUUUUGACUUAUGCACCGCCCCAUGUAGAGUGAAAACUUCUUAAAGGUUUGGAUGUAUCUUAUCCAUGUUUGAAUUUCCCUGGCUGGCAUAGUGUUUGGGUAUAUCAAGUGUUCCAUAAAUUGACAAAUGAAUAUACAAAUAACUAUAUGCAUGAUUUGUCAUUUCCAAACCCACUGUUAUAUUUGAUCCUCACUUUAGGCCCAUGAAAUCAAAUGUACAGAUACCAGAAUCUCUAUUAUACAGCAGAUAUGAAAACAGAAUGGACAUCUUCCACAAGAUUAUAGCCUUAGUAAAUCAAAAGAUCUAAAUUUCAAAUUCAGGACCUCUGGCUUCAAAUGCAGUACUCAUAAUGCCAAUAUUCAAGGAUGCCUUAACAACCUAGUGGACCAAAUUGCCUGCAAUUCCUUCUCCAGUCUAUGAAGUACUUAGCCAUUAACCUCAAUGAACCUGAAUUAUUCUGAACUUUUUCUUCACUCAUCCCUGGUCAGCAGUAUGUUGAUUCUGUAGCUAUAGAAGGAUGGCUAGUUCAGAUGGUUACAGCACAGUGCCAGGGAGGGCAGGAUUAUAAGAUUAGGACAUGUCUAUGAAGCCAGUUUGGAUUAAUUUUUCCAACACAACACACACCUUCUUAAUGUGCACCAACUUCCUAGCAAACAAAGUAUCCUUGGCCAACAGAAGUUGGUCGAGAUAAUGUGAAUUGAUGCUGGCAGAUCCAGAGAUUUGUUCAUUGAACGGUACAUUCUAAAGCAAAUAAGAAAAUGAAGCAACUCUAGGAGCCAAAAUCUCUGCAUUUCCAAGAGUGUCUUACCAAGCUAAAAAGAGAAAGCAAAAGAGAAUUCUCUCCAGAUUUUGAAAGUAUUUACUUAUUGGACUUCUGAGGUCUGUUCAUUACUGUUGCAAAGAAAAUCAGUAUCACCAUGCUUCUAAGUCUUUAGUAUUGCCGUUCCACACCAUUUUUUCUUUCUCUUUGCUUCAGUUUCUUGUAAACUGGUGGGAGUCUACACACUGCAUUUACUGACUGAUUCAAAGAAAAUUCCAUAACAUUUUCAAAAGAAAAACUACAGUAACAAUGGCUUCUAUUCAUAGUGGCAUCUACUCAUUAUCUAGCACUGUGAUGAGGCUGAAUAUAUGUUGACAUUUACAAACUCAAAAACUACCUAACGAUGUAUUAUUUAUCUACUUUUACAGAUACAACUAAUUACUAGAGGUUGUAGAGAUUUCCCAAUAUCUCAAAUCUGCUAAAUAAAAGAACUUGGACUUUGAAUCAGGAUAUCUAAUUCCAAAGACUAUGAGUGCACCACUAUGGAACAUAGUAAAUAGUCAAUAAAUAUUAUUGUAUAAAUGAACCAGCUGUGGCUGAACCUGUUUUUACCUCAAGAUGUUGAAGCUAUUCAUAAAAAUGAAGCUUACUGACACUGCACCUGAUCUGACUAUCAAAAAUACCUUGUUAAGGAACAUACUUCAGUCUUUUAUCACAUUACUUUCACCUCAGUGGUCAGUAACACCCUGAAUGUUUAAUUGUGUUACUAGUUUUAUACCCAAUCAAUCUUUUUCAUUAAAAUCCAGUGAAGCAGACAACUGAGGUAAUUACUGCAGAAUCAUCUUAAUUAAAAAUUUUAGCUUCUAAUUAAGAGUCAUUGUUUAUCUCAUUAGGAAACAUUUAGGAUUCAUGACAGGGUUUCCCUGUUCAUUAAUUUUUUAGCCUUUUUUGAGAUUGAACAUAGCGCAUGAUACUCCUACCCAUGUGAACAUUUGUGUUUAUACAUGCACAUAUGCUUGAGUAUAUUUAGGAGUGUUUUAAUUGUAUCAGAGGAAAAAUUAAUAAAAAGCAUGAAACCCAAUGGAAACUCUCUCUGAGAAACCCUUCACCCGUAUUUAUGUCUCAGCUAAUUACAAACUGUUCGAAAGUGAAUAAUUUAUACCUCAAUUGCUAGUCAGAUAUAUAAUUAUAUUCACAACUGAACAAAAGCUGCCUUGAAACUUUUUCUCACCUCUUAUUCAUUUAAACAAAGAUUUCUGAAUAUCCACUCAAGUCUAAGUAGCAUAAAGAAAUAAUUAUUAUUUCCCUAGACUCCCAUUUCUGGAAAAUUUCUUCUCACUAUGAGAAGGAAUAUAUAGGCACAGUCUCCUUGGGAGAUCAGAAAUUCCAUCCAUUCAGAUGUUAAAUAAACCAUGAUACAUAGUCCCUUGGAAACCCCAGCUUGGUUACUGCCUGAAGCUGCACUGCAGCCUCCAAUUGUAUGUAUGCUGUCAUGUGUUGUCGUAUAUUCAUAGCCAAACACUGGCAAAUGCUUUAAGUCACUAUUCUUUGCCUCAACAAUAAGAGACCAUUCUUUAAAUCUCACUGUGAUAAUUCAUGGAUCCAUUGCUCUGUUAAACUUGGAUACAAAUUAGUCAUUGGAACUGACACAAGGAUUUCAAUGUUAUGCAUAUAACCACACUAAAAAGUUCCUAUAUAGAAAUACUUGGCUUCUAUCAGCUAUGACAAUGACCUGUAUGGCCCCUCACAAAAUUGAAGUUGACAACAGGCAGUUUAAAUAUUUUAAGCUGAGGUGGAAAAAUCACAUUCAAAUUUUCCAUGCUAGCAGUUAGCUGCCAUGAAAGGUAUGCAGAAGAGGAAGGGAUGGGGAGGCAAUCAAUAAAGUUCAAUUCAUUAUCUGCAACAGAGGUUUUAAAACUGUGUCUGAAGAGAGAAUAUGCCAAGUUUGGGGAAGUGACAACCUGACCCCAGCAAAAAGAAAAUGCUUUCUUUUUUUCCCUACAAUUCCCACUGCCCUCCCAACCCAAGAGUAGUGGAUGCUAUAGCUUUCUAACCAACAAACUAAGCAAAUACUUGCUUUGUACUUACUCUUGGACGAUAGGCAUAGGAUGAUCUUUAAGUGUUCAGCAUUUUCCUUAAGGACUUCAAAAAUCAUCUUAACUUGGAAAGGGGGCCAAGGUCAAGGGAUGAAAAUUAAACUUUCCCUUGAAAAAGUCUUGAAAGUAAUCACAGCUCUCAGUGUGAAAACAAGAUGGAAGUAGAAGAGACUUCUAGUCUAAGGUGGAGAUAUUUUUUCCUCCAAAGUUACUAAACACACCUGAUUAUACAAACCAGGAUUCCUUUCUAUGACAUAUCAUUCCUAAGAUAUAAAAGAAAUAACAAAAAAGCAGAGGUUUAAAUAUGUCUACAAGCCAGACUCCCAAAUAAAAAUUUAGAUUUUUACACAAAUUCAAAGGUGCAUUUUCUUCUGGAAAUGAUUUGUGUAUAGUUCCAGAGGUUCUCCCAUCCAGAACAUAGUAAACUCUGCCUAGCAUCCGUUCUGCCAUUGUAAGCAAUGGCUACUUUAAAUCCUAAACAUCAGUGGGUACCCUGGCCCACUGUUAUUAUCUCCAUUGCCUCACCAGAACCUGUGCUGUUUAUUGAUGCUGAAAGAAACCCAUUCAGAUAAAUUACUGACUGGCAGCAGAUGAGCUGAUAAGGAGAGCAUCAUUAUUUUGCAAAACGGUCAAUGAAGGGUGCUGUAAAAUAAAAAUAUAACCAAAGGACGCUUCACAGAUGUAGCACAUUUUAUGGCAAAGGUGCUGAUGAAUAAUGAGUCUCCAGAGGCCAUGCGCUCUUCUUUCCUGUGCUGACUGUGACAUGCAGGACGAUGCUAUGCUGCUGGAAGUAUCCA